rnacentral:rRNA from 1 species
UACGUAGGGUGCAAGCGUUAAUCGGAAUUACUGGGCGUAAAGCGUGCGCAGGCGGUUGUGUAAGUUUGUCGUGAAAUCCCCGGGCUCAACCUGGGAAUUGCGAUGAAGACUGCACGGCUAGAGUGUGUGAGAGGGGGGUAGAAUUCCAAGUGUAGCGGUGAAAUGCGUAGAGAUUUGGAGGAAUACCAGUGGCGAAGGCGGCCCCCUGGCACAACACUGACGCUCAGGUGCGAAAGCGUGGGGAGCAAACAGG